CUGCUGAGGGGCUACCAUGUGUACGUGUCCGUCUAUACCGGCGGCAGUAAGUAUUAAAUGCUCCCCUGAUAUAGCAUCCGUAGAUGGCCCUGUCACAAGAUCCGGCGAAACACCUUUCAUUAUAUUUGGAUUUCCGGCUUUACCUAUUCCGGCAAUUUUUCCAUCUUUAAUUCCGACAUCUGCCUUAACAACACCCAAUAUUGGAUCUAAAAUUGUAACAUUUGUAAUUACAGUAUCAAGUGAACCAUCUUUGGAUGUCAUAGUAUUAGCAAGCCCCAUACCAUCUCU
rnacentral:sRNA from 1 species